rnacentral:rRNA from 1 species
GGAGGAAAGUAGGGGAUCGUAAGACCUUGUGCUUUUGGAGCGGCCGAUGCCUGAUUAGCUAGUUGGUAAGGUAAAGGCUUACCAAGGCUUCGAUCAGUAGUUGGUCUGAGAGGACGACCAGCCACACUGGGACUGAGACACGGCCCAGACUCCUACGGGAGGCAGCAGUGGGGAAUUUUGGACAAUGGGGGAAACCCUGAUCCAGCCAUGCCGCGUGAGUGAAGAAGGCCUUCGGGUUGUAAAGCUCUUUCAGUUGAGAAGAAAAAAUCACGACUAAUAAUUGCGAUUCAUGACGGUAUCAACAGAAGAAGCACCGGCUAACUACGUGCCAGCAGCCGCGGUAAUACGUAGGGUGCAAGCGUUAAUCGGAAUUACUGGGCGUAAAGGGUGCGCAGGCGGUUUUGUAAGUCAGAUGUGAAAUCCCCGGGCUUAACCUGGGAACUGCGUUUGAAACUACAAAGCUAGA